ensembl:lncRNA
UCAGCCCCACUGAACUGAGCAGCAGAGAUGUAGGAGCCAGGAGGCCGCUCGGAUCCGGCGGGCAGCCCAGCUCCCUGGCGAUGGCUGCAAGACUCGCCCCGGCCGCCGAACAGGGCGGUGCCAAGCUCGCCCCGUUCCUCCCUGGGGUUACCACCGUUCACAGACCGGCUUGGGGGUUAUUUACGUUCACUCUCCUGACAGAGCCUGACCCCACACAGCCAAUCAGCGGCCACCCCGCCUAUCUGCCAGCGUCCGCACCAAUCAGGUGGCCUUGCCCCUGGAGGCCUGCCGGCACGUCCAACGCCCAUAGCACAGGCCUUUCCUUCCGGCGCCAAGCGCCUGCUGCUCCGCUGGCCGCGGGAGCCGGGCGAGCCAGUCCUUGUUGCUCCUGGGCCGGAGAGGUCUCCUGGGUUGGGAGGCGCAGGCCUGCCCCCGGAGGAGACGCGGGCGCCCCAGACGCCCGCCCUCCCGCCCGCGCUCGCCCUCCCGCCCGCGCUCGUCCUCCCAUCCGCCUGUUCCUCGGCGCGGGCUCCUGGCCGAGGAAACCGAAGCUCCAGUCAGCGGAGCAGCCGAGAUGGGGCGGGCGGGGUGUCGCCGGCCUGCGGGGCGUGUAGGGGAGCUGUGACGCUGGCGUGGGCGAGCGGACCGCUUCUUCCGUGAUAAGGAGUUGUCGGCUGAACCCAAGGGACAGAGCAGACUGUUUGAGAAAGAUGCUCCGAGCCGAGGGACCAGACUUGGUCUGGAAGGUCAGAUGGGGGCUUUGUCGCUACUGAGCUGAGGCCCCGUGGGAGCGGGCCCCCACCUCGAAGACCGCCUUGCUGGGAGCACUUUCGCUUUGGCGCAGAAUCAGCAGUGGCCACCGGGAUUGGAUCUUGAGAUGGUGGAGGAGAGCAGUCAGGACGCCUAAGUGUUAGCCCAGAGGACCGCAAGGAGGGCACCUGCACCAACCCGGGCGACCCGGUGGAAAGGAGCAGAGUUUGAAAAGUGCCACCCCAGGGACCCCGCCCUGGUGAUCUUGUCGAACCCUAGUGACCUCCCAGAGGCUCCACCUUCAAAUACCAUCAGUGCACAAAUUUGAGGACUAGAUUUCUAACAACUGAAGUUUGGAUGACGCAUUCGAACUAUGACAGAGGCUAAAACAACUUAAGUAGUGAUCGAGGGAAAGACACAAACAGAAGCCCUUGGAGACGGGCAGACGGGGCAAGAGCUUAAAAAAAAUCUGGAAAGGAAACUGAGGAAGCAGAAAGGCAAAGACUUGACAAAUGAGAGGAACAAGAGGAUGAGCCAGAGGAUCAGAUGCGGGAGCAGCCACGGAGUGAGAUGCAGGCUGUGAGGGAAAAGACAGAGAGGGAGCGGAGGGAGGAGACGAAGACAAAAGCUGCGCCCGGCACCUCUGCCGGUCCUUUCCAGGGACACAGCUUCCUGGUGAGCUUCGCAAACUUGGAGAAACACCACGGACUCUUUUUUCAGUACCAGGGGCCAAACUCAGGACCUUGCAUUUGGGAGGCAGGCGCGGUACCACUGAGCUAGACCCCAGCCCAGCACCACCGGACUCUGACCGUCACUUUCCCUAUCCACUGUUCCCUUGCUGCAGUGGACACGGGCAGCAUUUUACAAUCCGGCCGACCCGUGGGGUGACCUAGGGUCCCCUUCCCCUCCUCCUCCUCCUCCUCCUCCUCCUCCUCCUCCUCCUCCAGCUCCUAUUCCUUCUUCCCCUUCCCCUUCCCCUUCCCUUUCUCCCUCGCUGUGUCCCUCUCCCUCUCCUUUUCCUUCUUCGCCUUCUUCUUCUUUUUGAGCCAGGGUUUCUCCGUGUAGUUCAGGCUGGCCUUGAACUCACUGUGUAGCCCAGGCUGGCCUCAGACUUGUGGUAAUACUCCUGCCUCGGUCUCCCGAGGGCUGGCAUCACAAGCGCCCACCCCAUGCCCGCCUUCUGCUCCUUUAGGAAAUGUGAUGUCGUCGUUUCAGAACACCCACCCCAUGCUGACCAAGGAGCAAUCUACCCACCAGCACAAUGAAAAGCACUGCACAUCUUUCGGCUGCAGAUGCGAGGAUGAAGAAGGGAGCGAGUGAGGGAGGACAGGGAGGCUGGUGACUUAUACGCUCUCUAUAGAAUGAAUCUCCCUUGUUCUAAUACUGGGGACAAUCGAAAGCCGUCUGCUUUGAGCCAUUUAGCACAUACAGUAGGCUUAUAAAGGACCACUCAGGUCCGGGGAGCUGAACUCAGGUUACUUACAUCAGACUUGCAGAAGUGUCACCAUUGUGCCAGGCUUCAGGAGUGCCCUUGAGAGCACAGUGUCCUAGGGAGGGAGCUGCCAGCUGAACCCAGCAGAGCCCAGCCAUCUAACAUUCAGGGCCUGGUGAGGGAAGGCCUGCCGCGUGUCAGGUCAUUGUCCACACUCAGCUCCCAUCCCAUAUGGAUCAGGGAGUUGGAUUCUGCCCCAGACUUCUGUGAGAGGUGUGUGCUAACACUUAGCUCCAGGCCUGCGUGAAAUAGGCUUCGUCCUUCUCCCAUAGUUUUCUAUGCAUAGCUACCCAAUGGCAUUAUCUAUAAAGGUGAGAUCAGAACAUUGUAGAUCCUGAGGUGGAAGCCUCUCCACAUGGGCUUCUGCAGCCCUGUGUCCUAACCCAGGCUUGAGGUAGACAACGGUGGAGCCAGCAGCAAAGACGCCCCAGGGUCUCUGUGCCCCUGAGUCCUAGCCCUCACCUGGACACACCCACGGAAGCUGGGCUUGGAGCCAGUCUCCUGACCGGUCGACUCGACGGAGGUGGGGGUGCUGUCCCAUCAAGGAGGAGGGAGGCUGGGAUUUGCAUAUCCUAGUGAGAAGAUUUUGGUUCCCUUCAUGAGGGAAUUCACUUGCAUGUAGGCUUGGGACCAAGAUGUGAAGAAAAGGAAGAAAUGAUGAUCUUCAUGAAGACAUUUGCAGAACAAUUGCAGUGUUUUAAUUUUCUUGCAAGAUUUCACAGAAACUCUCUUUUUGCAAUCAAAGGAUUAGCUGCCCUGAGAACCAGGAGGACACCUGCAAGAGUUGUGCUGUGCGGGGCUCUCAGCAUGAAGACGAGGCUCCUGCUUCCCUCCACACGGACCUCAGAUGGAGAAAGUGAAGGUCCUUGGGCUGUUUCUGGGGUGAGGGGCUGGGGGCCUCCGCAGCAUGAGCAGGUGCUGAGACUCAGCAGGGCUCUUGGUGCUGGUGGGGCAGUGCUCAGCUGGGGCAGGACAGGAUGGGGCUUCCUUUCUCCUGCCACAGCUCUGCCUUUAGGUCCACAGGCCUAGGUCAGCGCCCUGCCCACCUGCUCCAUACCACACGCUGUCUGGGAGGACCAGGUGCCUCAGACUCCUGUAGUUGGGACCACCCGGAGGGUGCAAUUCAAUUAUCUUGGGCUUCAGAGACCCACAGAAUCCACCACCCGGCCCCCCACUCCCUAGCCAGGUAAUUAAAUGAAUGAUGCAAAAAAGGAAAAAGGAUUGGUCAAGCUUUUUUGGAUGUAACUGAAAAGCAUACUUUCUCAUCUUUUAUAUUCAUCCCAACAAAGGUAACCCUAUUUUAAAGCCCUGUAUUUGUAUCCUGUGUGACCGAGACUAAUUUAACCCAAAGUAAGACAAGCGUCACGCUCCGCCUGAGGCCAGCGGCCGCUCCUGCCUCUUGUGAGCAUCACUCACCUCAAACUCUCACACAUUGUAAUACUCGAGAAGCUUAGGCCUGGAAGGGCUGUGUCUCCGUGGGUCGACCCAGGAGACUUUGCACAGAAUUGUCCCUUUACAUGAAGUCAGUGUCAGGCACAGCCAAAAGUUUUUGGGUUACCUCUUUGUAAAUCAACAGUUGAGAUUGUUGUUGUGCGUACGUGGGUGUGGCUGGAAUCAAAUGCCCUCUGUGACCAACAGUUCUUUCUUCACACUGCACUGCUUUCAUGCUGGUUCUCAUGAAUAAAACAUAUUCACAUGACAGCUUGUACUUUUCCGUCUUUGCUCGGCUUAUGCAGAUAGCCACUUCCUUCAGGCAGUGUGAGGAGAGUCUGGCCCCUGUG